rnacentral:misc_RNA from 1 species
GUGAAUCAUCAAAUUUUUGAACGCAAAUUGCACUCUCUGGUAUUCCGGAGAGUAUGCCUGUUUGAGGGUCAGUUUAAAUAAAAAUCGGUGUGGUUGCUGCCUUUCGUGGUGACGCACCGGAGGGGGGUCGGCUGGCCUGCGGUUAAGUGACCUAAAAUUUUGCAUGAUUUUUUGCGAACGUAGUUAAAUGAGGGGACGGACGGUUGCGAUAGCGAAUACUAGGCGUGGGCAGCCG